GUAACAGCCGAUAUAAUUUCUUGCCAGUUCUACUGUUCGUUCUAUCAGGUCGUGCGGAUAAACCUUUGCGUUUCACGUUGUCUGCUGUUGCUGAUAUUUUAAUACAGAAUCAGAGUGUUAAAGAGUACUACUACACUGUAGUAUUCUUCAAUAUUAUUCGGUGCGUGGCAGUUAAGCUCUGAUCAUCUGUUUUUGCCCCCCAAAAAUGGCCUCAAUUACCAGUGCUUGGGUCAUCCACCAUCCACACCUCAAAAAUCACCGAUUCAAGAAAUCAAUUUCUCUCUCCUAUUGGUCCCACAAUAAUAACCCACCUACUCCAUCAUCUUCUUCAACAAAUCUGUUCCGGAAAAUGCAAUUGAAUGGAAGAAGAAGAAAUAUUGUUAUGGAAAAUCCUUCAAUUUACAGUCUUGAAACUUCAUUAUUACCUCAUAAAGUGAAUUCCCAGAAGAAGGAGGAUUACCCUGUUGAUCAUGAUACUCCUGAACCAGAGGUCUUUGCUUGGUCUUCUGUAAUUUUGCCGUUUCUAUUCCCUGCACUAGGUGGUCUACUAUUUGGAUAUGAUAUUGGUGCUACUUCUGGAGCUACGAUAUCACUACAGUCUGCUGAGCUUAGUGGUACAACAUGGUUCAAUCUUUCAGCAGUUCAACAGGGUUUGGUGGUGAGUGGCUCACUUUAUGGAGCUCUCUUUGGUUCUAUCGCCGUCUUUCCGAUAGCUGACUUCCUUGGAAGGAGACGUGAACUUCUCAUAGCUGCAACUCUAUAUGCAAUUGGUGGCCUCACCACUGCAUUUGCUCCUAGCCUUGGAGUUCUUUUGAUUGGGAGGCUUCUUUACGGCCUUGGCAUUGGUUGGGCCAUGCAUGCGGCCCCACUUUAUAUUGCAGAAACGUGCCCUUCUCAGAUUCGAGGAACCCUGAUUUCGUUGAAAGAACUUUUUAUAGUUCUUGGCAUUUUGCUGGGUUAUUUUGUUGGUAACUUUAAUAUCGAUAUGGUUGGAGGAUGGCGUUACAUGUUUGGACUGAGUCUUCCGGUUGCUGCAGCUAUGGGUCUUGGGAUGUUAAGUCUGCCUCGUUCACCUCGCUGGUUGCUUCUCAAGGGUGUUAAAGGUGAAGGAUCUUUACAGGAGUAUAAGGAAUUGGCUAUUGCUGCUCUGAGCAAACUCCGAGGCAGACCUGCUGGUGAUAAAGUGUCUGAAAAGCAAAUUGAAGACACACUAGUUUCAAUGAAGUCUGCUUACCAAGAUCAGGAAUCAGAGGGAAGCUUUUUAGAGGUGUUUCAAGGGCCGAAUCUGAAAGCUUUUAUCAUUGGUGGAGGUCUCGUACUUUUUCAGCAGAUAACUGGGCAGCCUAGUGUUUUGUAUUAUGCUGGUCAAAUUCUACAGAGUGCUGGAUUUUCUGCUGCAGCUGAUGCCACUCGAGUUUCAGUGUUGAUUGGCCUAUUUAAGUUUGUUAUGACAGGAGUAGCCGUUCUGAAGGUUGAUGAUCUUGGAAGGAAACCCUUACUAAUAGGAGGUGUUAGUGGGAUAGCUGUAUCCUUGUUCCUCCUUGCUGCUUACUACAAGUUUCUUGGAGGCCUCCCUUUUGUUGCUGUGGCCGCUUUACUUCUAUACGUCGGUUGCUAUCAAAUAUCAUUUGGUCCUAUCAGUUGGCUAAUGGUGUCAGAGAUAUUCCCCCUUCGCACAAGAGGACGUGGGAUCAGUCUGGCUGUUUUAACAAACUUUGGUUCAAAUGCUCUUGUGACUUUUGCCUUUUCACCAUUGAAGGAGUUUCUUGGUGCUGAUAAUCUUUUCCUCAUAUUUGGAGCUAUUGCUUUGCUGUCUCUCGUAUUUGUAUUGACCCUGGUUCCAGAGACUAAAGGAUUAAGUCUGGAAGAAAUCGAGGCAAAGUUAUCGGAAUGAGAUUUGGUUCUGAUGCUACAUUAUGAGAAAAUACCAAGAAGAUGGGAGCACAGAUUUGUUUUCUUAAAUUUGCACUGGGAGAUUUUUCCGAAACAGAUGAAGUCAGAUUAUAAGUUACGCAUGAGUCAAAGCUCAGGUAGUUAACUGAUAUGGGAAAACGACUCACAGUGCUUUGGAAUCUAUAUGAUUUAAGGACCAAGUUGGAGGAAUGAAUUAGUAAGCACUCAUUUCAGGAUUGUACUGAGAUAGCAAUACAUCAGUUGUAUCAAAACGGUUUAGUUCUAAACCUAAUAUCUGAGAUAAUGUUCCUACAGCACUCUGAAA